rnacentral:rRNA from 1 species
GUUGAACGCUGGCGGCAUGCCUAAUACAUGCAAGUCGAGCGAAAAGACGAGGACCUCCCUCCUCUGACGUUAGCGACGGACGGGUAAUUAACCCGUGGGUACCCUAUCUAUAAGACUGACAUAACUUCGGGUAACCUAAUAUAACAUCCGAUCUUAUAUUGAACCCCAUGGUCCAUUAGUGAAAGCCGGUUUUGCUCGGACGAAUAGAUGGAACGACGCCGGAUUAGCUAGUUGGUACGGUAACGGCUUACCAAGGCAACGAUGCGUAGCCGACCUGAGAGGGUGAUCAGCCACACUGGGACUGAGACACGGUCCAGACUCCUACGGGAGGCAGCAGUAGGGAAUUUUCGGCAAUGGGCGAAAGCUUGACGCAGCCAUGCCGCGUGAGUGAUGAAGGUCUUCGGAUUGUAAAACGCUGUUGUUAGGAAAGAACAAAUUCUUAAUUAUCUAUGCAGGUCUUGACGGUACCGAAACAGAAAGCCCCGGCUAACUACGUG